GCUGCCGGUAAGAAGGCUUCCAGUGGGCUGAGCCUUUGAAUCGGUUCAAAAGCAUGCUGGGUAUCCGGUCCCCUGCCGUCCCCUCUGCCUCGUCAUUGUCGUCAUUAUCAUCGCCAUUGCUGUCCAGCUCUGGCCAGAGCAUGAACAGCCCGGAAGGCUGGGACUCUUCAGCGCCUCAGAUGUACAGGUGGUUCCCCAGCAUGGCUGCAGCUGACCGCUGUUCUCUCCAAUCCCUUCAUUUCCCCUUUUUUUCUUUAAUACUUAGAAAUUUGCGUUCACUCAGCUCGCAGGGAUACAGCAGAUGCCUUCAGGAUCUUUCAGCGGAUCCACUGUGUGUGUUGUCAUGGAAAUGGAAUCUUUGCUAGUAGAGAUGGAGUCAGAUGAAGACAGCAAAUGAUAACUAAGUCAACUUUGUAAGACUACAAGCCAUUCGCCAAUUGACAAAUGGUCAAAGGAUGUAAACUAGCAGUUUUCAGAUGAAGGAAUUAAAGGUAUAAAUAAUUUUAUUUAAAAAUCUAAAUUAAUCUUCAUUAGACUUAUACAGAUUUGGGGAAAGUGGGGUCAAAGAAAGGAAAAGGGAGGGGGGAACCAUCAAUAACACUAAGAUUUACUUAAAGAAAUGGGGGGGGACUUAAUAGAAUAAUCUUUCCCAUAUAAAGAUACACAUGGGAAGGGGAGGGCAAGAAUUCUCAUAUGAGAAGGAGAGGAAGUGAGCGUGAAGUGGAAUUACUUAAACCUUACUCUCAAUGAAAUCAAAUCAGAGAGGGAAGAACAUCUAGAUGCAGUGGGAUCCUGAAUUCUAUCUUAUCCAACAGGGCAAGAAAGAAAGGAAAAUUAAGGAGGGGAAGGGGGAAGGGAGUAUAAAAAGGGAGGGAAGGAGAGGGGGGAGGGGAAGGGAGCAUGAAAAGGGAGGGGCUAGAAAGGGAAGCAUCUCAAGGUAGGGGACUAGGUGGACUGACCUAAAGUAAAUCACUGGUUCAAAAGUAUAUAGCUAAAGAAGAAAGGUCAGAACUAGGGGAAGAUAUCAAAAUGCCAGUGAAUCCACAAAUGACAAUCAUAACUUUGAACGUGAAUGGGAUGAACUCACUCAUAAAAUGUAGACAAAUAGCAGAUUGGAUUAGAACCCAAAACCCUACCAUUUGUUGUCUUCAAGAAACAUAUAUGAGGCUGGUUGACACUCACAAGGUAAGAAUUAAAGGUUGGAGUAAGACCUUUUGGGCCUCAACUGACAGAAAGAAGGCAGGAGUUGCAAUCAUGAUAUCUGAAAAAGCCAAAGCAAAAAUAGACCUGAUCAAAAGGGAUAGGUAAGGAAAAUAUAUUCUGUUAAAAGGGAGCAUAGACAAUGAGGAAAUAUCACUAAUCAACAUGUAGGCACCAAAUGGUAUAGCAUCUAAAUUUUUAAUAGAAAAACUAGGAGAAUUGAAGGAGGAAAUAGACAGUAAAACCAUAUUAGUGGGAGACUUGAACCAACCACUAUCAAAUUUAGAUAAAUCAAACCAAAAAAUAAACAAGAAAGAGGUAAAAGAUGUGAAUGAAAUCUUAGAAAAAACAGAGUUAAUAGACAUAUGGAGAAAAAUGAAUAGGGACAAAAAGGAAUACACCUUUUCAGCACAACAUGGCACAUUCACAAAAAUAGAUCAUCACUAGGUCACAGAAACAUGGCACUCAAAUGCAGAAAAGGAAAAACAAUAAAUGCAGGCUUUUCAGAUCACAAGGCAAUAAAAAUAUUAAUCAGUAAGGGUACAUGGAGAGCCAAAUCAAAAAUUAUUUGGAAAUUAAAUAAUAUGAUACUCCAAAAUCUGUUAAUUAGAGAAGAAAUCAUAGAAAGAAUUAAUAAUUUCAUUGGGGAAAAUAACAACGGUGAGACAUCCUUUCAAACCUUAUGGGAUACAGCCAAGACAGUACUUAGAGGAAAAUUCAUAUCACUAACUGCAUAUAUUAACAAAUUAUGGAGGACAGAGAUCAAGGAAUUGGAAAUGCAAAUCAAAAAACUUGAGAAUGAACAAAUUAAAAACCUCCAGCAGAAAACCAAACUAGAGAUCAUAAAAAUUAAGGGAGAAAUUAAUAAAAUAGAAAGUGGCAAAACUAUUGAGCUAAUAAACAAGACUAGAAGCUGGUACUUUGAAAAAACAGACAAAAUAGACAAAGUACUGUUCAAUCUAAUUUUAAAAAGGAAAGAAAGGCAAAUUAACAGCAUCAAGGAUGAAAAGGGGGAUCUCACCUCCAAUGAAGAGGAAAUUAAGGCAAUCAUUAAAAACUACUUUGCCCAACUAUAUGGCAAUAAAUAUACCAACCUAGGUGAUAUGGAUGAAUAUUUACAAAAAUAUAAAUUGCCUAGACUAACAGAAGAAGAAAUAGAUUUCUU